GUGAGAAGCCUGAAGGACCAGCAUCCACAAAGUACAGAGGCAGAUAAAUAUCUCAUCAAUCAACUGGGAAACCAAGCAAGCACAUCCCCUCCCUGGUACCAGGGAUCAAAGUUACAACCUAGCACUUUCCAGUCAGGUGUUUCUGCCUGCUGAGCUAAAUCCCUGGUUUGUAUUGUAAGAUCACCAUCGCGAAGAAGGCCCCAAGGAUCCAGCUCUCAUGAAAAAUCAAGGGGUUUUUUAUUGUCCACGCAUGCAAGUGACCCUCUGACCACACUCCGGUGGGAGGGAAUGAGAGAGCGGUACAGCUGAAGAAAGCCAGACCUGAAGAAGAAGAUGUAGUGACCAUGUCUACAUGUUCCUGAAGACAAAAACAACAGCUUGAAAUGUAUUACAGUUACCACGACCUCCUCCAGGAAGUCCUGAUACUCAUAAAUUACCAUACUCAAUGACCUGAACAACUGGACUAUUGUUUCCACAAAAUGCCUUGGCUCUUUCCACAUACAUUUUCUUGCUGACUUGUUCCCCUGCUGAAUAAUAUUAGUUAAGCAGCUUUAAGCUAAUAUUUUGAUUGUGGUUUGAGACCCACACUGUACCCACAUUGUGACUAUCCUGUAUAAAUGACCCCUGACAAUAGGUCUGUGGCCAAACACUGAAAACCACUCCUGAAAAUUCAGGGCUAUACUUCUCUCUUUUUUUCUAAGAAAAUUUUUGAACUUCUUUUGGUUUGUGACUUCCUUUCUCAAUGU